GGCUUCUGCGGCUGCUGCAUCACCGCUGGAUACCCACCGUACCCAUGUGCUGGCGGGUAACCGUACCCGUACCCGGGAGCAUUAGGGUACCCUCCAUAUGCAUGUUGUGGAGGUGGUGGAUAUCCGCCUGGCGGCGGAUAACCCCCUGGUGGCGGAUAAGGAUACGGAACCUGUCCCUUGCCCGCUUCCGUAUGAUAGGGUGGUGGUGGAGGAUAUCCACCUGGAGGUGGAUAGGCAGAACUUGCACUAGCCCCUGCGCCUGGAUACCCCGCCGCUGGAUAUGCCAUUACGGGUUCGUCGACCUUUUUCGCCUUCUCCUGUGUGUGCAAUGGAGCCUCGAAUUUUUCUCCGAAUU
rnacentral:misc_RNA from 1 species